UACGUAGGGGGCAAGCGUUGUCCGGAUUUAUUGGGCGUAAAGAGCUCGUAGGCGGCUUGUUGCGUCGACCGUGAAAACCCGCGGCUUAACUGUGGGCUUGCGGUCGAUACGGGCGGGCUGGAGUUCGGUAGGGGAGACUGGAAUUCCUGGUGUAGCGGUGAAAUGCGCAGAUAUCAGGAGGAACACCGGUGGCGAAGGCGGGUCUCUGGGCCGAUACUGACGCUGAGGAGCGAAAGCGUGGGGAGCGAACAGG
rnacentral:rRNA from 1 species